GACGAACGCUGGCGGCGUGCCUAAUACAUGCAAGUCGAGCGGACAGAAGGGAGCUUGCUCCCGGAAGUUAGCGGCGGACGGGUGAGUAACACGUGGGCAACCUACCCUGUAGAUCGGGAUAACAUCGAGAAAUCGGUGCUAAUACCGGAUAAUCAUUUGAAGUGCAUGCUUCGAGUGUAAAAGAUGGCUCCGGCUAUCACUACGGGAUGGACUCGCGGCGCAUUAGCUAGUUGGUAAGGUAAUGGCUUACCAAGGCAACGAUGCGUAGCCGACCUGAGAGGGUGAUCGGCCACACUGGGACUGGGACACGGCACAGACUCCUACGGGAGGCAGCAGUAGGGAAUCUUCCGCAAUGGACGAAAGUCUGACGGAGCAACGCCGCGUGAGUGAUGAAGGUUUUCGGAUCGUAAAGCUCUGUUGUUAGGGAAGAACAAGUGCCGUUUGAAUAAGGCGGCACCUUGACGGUACCUAACCAGAAAGCCACGGCUAACUACGUGCCAGCCGCCGCAGUAAAAC
rnacentral:rRNA from 1 species